rnacentral:RNase_P_RNA from 1 species
UUGAGGAAAGUCCGGGCUCCUAUUUGGCCAGGCUUGCUGGGUAAUUCCCAGUGCGGGUGACCGUGAGGAUAGUGCCACAGAAACACACCGCCUAACGCUUAAUGGGGAUAUCCCAACAAGCGCGGCAAGGGUGCAAAGGUGCGGUAAGAGCGCACCAGCAGCAUCGAGAGGUGCUGGCUAGGUAAACCCCGGCCAGGAGCAAGGCGAGGGGCACUGGAUGGCCAUAGACCUUGUCCCUGUAGAGAGCCGCUUGAGGCUAGCGGUAACGUUAGUCCCAGAUAGAUGAUUACCCAUUCGCUUUCUAAAGAAAGAGGAAAGAACAG